UGGGAAGCCGCCUAUGAAUGGCGCCCAUUUCCUGCUUCCGGGUUCUUCCCGGCCUGAACAAGCCCGCCAAAUUGUCAUAUCUGCCCAGUUACCCGUGACACUAGCCUAUCAGCUUGUUAGGCGCGCUUCUCUGUGAUUGGAUACUGCUUCCCCUUAUAAGAGGUUGUUCCUGCCCCCAACGGGCAGAAGAGGAACCAACGUUGAGGGUGGCGGACCUUGUUAGGUCCGGUUCGCUGUACGCAAUAAAGUUUGAGAGCUGAUCCUGCUCGAGUUUGGUCUCCUGUCUCCCGCGGCUCCGGUCAUCUGGUGGCCCGUUUGGGGAAAAAGGUAAAAGACUCAGCGACGUGCCUCUUCGGCCGGGAGGUGCGAUUGCUGUCGCCUGCGGUACGACGGAGGACCUGGCCCAAUAACAACGGAAGGCCGCGAGCGCCUCUUCUCUUCACCCUGAUCAGCUACGUGAGAUACAGCGGUUCCCGGGACAGGAACCAGGCUGCGAACCGCUGUGGGUCCCGGAAAGAUUGACGCGAGCAGGAAACUCCCCACCAGUUCCUGAUAAAGCACAGGAGGAUAAGCCCGCGGACACAAGUCAACUCGACCCUUCUGGGACCGACGCUCAGCGCCCGAGACCAUCUACAAACUAAAAUGUCUGGUUUGGAGCUUUUUCUAUUCUGUGGGUUCCUAUUAAUCACCCCUGUCUGCACAAAUUUGACCAACACUGUUAAAAAUAUGACAGCUUGGCUGCAAGACACCUACCUACCUAAGUUUCACAAUUUGUCCCUCAUAGUCGGUCAGGAACUUGACAGUAUGGACGGUAUCCAACUAGGUCCGGUCGGGUUUGAUUUGUCAACUUUAGGCAGUGUUGUGGCCAGUUUGUGGGAGCGCGUCACCUCCUGGUUCUCCUGGCCCAACCUGACUACUUGGAUCCUGAUUGCCGUGGCCAUCCUAGUGGGGCUUGUGGUUAUUAAAUGCUUGUUAGAUCGCCUCAUACAAACUCAGCAGCAGGUUAAGAUCACAGCUAUGGCAGCCAUGCAAAUGGCAGCAGGUGGCCCAUCAGGCCAGCAGGCCGCCGCAUAUCUCCUUCACAUUGCAGAACAUCAGCUAUAAGAGCUGAGUGGGCAAGCCAAUGACGGGUAAGACGGGAAAAGCCCUCCCGGUCAACCUAAGACAGGCUCCACUCAGAUAUACAUGGCCUAUAAGGCCAGGGGUCCCUCCCGGAGUCAAAUUAUUGGCAUUGAGAUGCGAGACCAAGGGUACUGCAGUGCCAUCCGCCCCAAAGGUUGGGGGGAAGGCAGGAAUGAAUGUCUAUAUGCAUCCAGGUUCGGUUCACAAAAGCCUGGCCCUGCGAAAAAAUGAACCACUCACCUUGAGCAUGGUCCUGGCGCAAGGAUAUGCACAAAACAGGGUGAUGCACAGCAGGGUAUAGACCUCUACAUUCUCUCAUGCCUCGGCCUACAAGGUAGGCCCACUCCUAGGUGUCUAACAGCAACAACGUCAUAGACACCUUGGAGGGACCCACAGACCAUCCUAUUUUAAUAAAUAAAAAAGGGGGAGAUGUGGGAAGCCGCCUAUGAAUGGCGCCCAUUUCCUGCUUCCGGGUUCUUCCCGGCCUGAACAAGCCCGCCAAAUUGUCAUAUCUGCCCAGUUACCCGUGACACUAGCCUAUCAGCUUGUUAGGCGCGCUUCUCUGUGAUUGGAUACUGCUUCCCCUUAUAAGAGGUUGUUCCUGCCCCCAACGGGCAGAAGAGGAACCAACGUUGAGGGUGGCGGACCUUGUUAGGUCCGGUUCGCUGUACGCAAUAAAGUUUGAGAGCUGA